rnacentral:lncRNA from 1 species
UUCUUAUGGUUUGUCCUACUUAUUUUUUAGGUUGUACAAACUCUAUGAAGCUUGAACUAAGCCAAAUUGUUUUCUCGCAUUGGAGUUUUUUUCUAUCUUCAAGUCCCAGUUAUAGCGACGUGUCGUACUCCUCAUGCUUAGGUAGACUUUUCCAUCGUUACGUUUCUAGUUUCAAUCACGUUUAAGCGAUCUCAAACUUGGACUUUAAAAUCCAAUCAAUUUCUAUAUAUUAAAUCAAAUGUAAAUACAGCAGUCAACGUGCUCCUUUAAAAUCCUAUGAGCAAAUUGGUUCAUUAGUUACUCCAUUAGAUGACGGAUUAACCUCCGAUUUUUUAAACAUAUUGCACUAGUUUGUACAUUUUUAAACUUAUCGUAAGUUGCACUUGACAUCAUUUUGUAUGAAGAAAGGACCGUCCUCCGUGAAAGAGGGAACGGAGGGUAAUUGAGGCAUACAACUCUUAGCCGUUGUUUGAUUUUCAUUAAAUUACAUUACAUUACAUUCUAUUUUUCUCUCUCCUAUUUUCAACCACACAAUUUUUCAUAAAAUAAUAUUACACGUAAAUCAAAAAUUUUUCUUUCUUUUUCAACCACUCAUUUUUCAAAAAAC